UACACACGUGAUACCAAUCUCCCACUUCUCCAAAAAGAAAACAUAGAGUACUGCGUAAACUUUCCUCAUUUCCAUCUUUUUCUCUCUAGAACUGAACAAAAAAUCUCAAUUUUCUCAGCAUCUACAGUCAAUGGAGUGAUGGUUAGAAAAAAAUCAGGAAUCGUUGGAGGAAAUUCCGCAAGCACCUUCUCUUCCAUGUUCUCUUUGAAUAAAAUCAUCUAAGCAGAGAUCUAAUUACGUGCGUAUCUCCAAGAACAACAAAAUAGUCUUUCUCCUCUUACAGCUUGUUGUGACUUUGCUUCAAUUGACAUUAUUCAGACCCUAUCUUGGUGUUUCCAUAUCUUCCAGCAUUACAGGCUAAGGAGCAAAGCAAGGACACUGCCGAGAAAAAAGAAACCAACAAGCUGAAGAAGUGGAGAAAAGCGAUCUUGGUGAUCACCAAGACCACUCGACGGUCCGCCGAGUGGCUCUCAGCCCGCCCAAUUUUACAGAACACCACCUUUGAGAUAAGAGAAAUUUGGGCGAAGGGUGUUCCCUAGUGGCGACUCAUCGAACGGAUCGGCGAGGAAAGGUUGUGUUCGCCGAAAUGCACAAGUUUAUCAGUGAAGCUGCAAGCAGAAAGGCGAGAAAAAAAAACAAAGGGCGGUUCACUGAAUCACUCAGCGAACCCCGACUUAGACCGCCAAAAGUCACAAAACAUCAUGGAUGAAAACGAAGAUAAAAGGGCGAUGGACAAGGGUGACCGGCGAUUUGCCAACUGGUCGGCGAAUCCCAUUUUUCCUCGCUGAUCUGCCCCAAAAAAUACCAAAAUUUGGAUCAGUAUAAAUUGCCACUCUUUUGAAGAGAGAUGAUUAUUCAGUCAUUAUGGAUACAAAAAGAGAGAACAAAAACAAUAUUCAUGUUGAUUUGAAGCAUUUUUGUUUGAGAUUUUAAGUUGAGUGUUGUAAUCGAAAGAAGAUUUAUCCAUUUUAAGAUUUUGGAAAUCAAUACCUUGCUAUGGAGCAUGUAUUAUGUAUUGAAUUUUCUUCUUUUAUGAUGAAUAGUUAAAACCCUAUUAUUCUUGGGGGUUUGACCAUGUGA